rnacentral:misc_RNA from 1 species
CAAAACUUCAUUAGCAGCGCGAACUUCUCUCAAAAACAACAAUGGAGGAGCCAGCGAAGGGAACGGUCACACCAUUCGCUUCGAUGUUUCCAUUUGACGAAGCACAGAAGGCGGUGCAGCGAGUGGAGGAUGCGAUUGCAGAGAAGCAGAAGGAGCUCGAACGCCACAAACAAUUCAUCGCCGAUAACACCAAUCUCGUCAACCUCGUUUCCCGCCUCCCGGACGAGCUCCACCACGACGUCAUGGUUCCGUUCGGAAAAGCCGCGUUCUUUCCUGGCCGAUUGAUACACACAAAUGAGUUCGUGGUUCUUCUGGGAGAAGGUUACUACGCCG